AUGAUGGGCUAUAGGACAGGACUGCUGCUUUUAACUCUCUGCUGGGCAGGUGUUGAUGGUCAGACUCUGACACAAUCUGAACCAGUGGUUAAAAAGCCUGCAGAGUCCCACACAUUGACCUGCACAGCCUCUGGAUUCACAUUCAGUGACUACUGGAUGGUCUGGGUCAGACAGGCUCCUGGAAAAGGACUGGAGUGGAUCGCUGGUAUCACCAGCAGUGGCAGCAGCACCUACUACUCCCAGUCAGUCCAAGGCCGGUUCACCAUCUCCAGAGACAACAACAGACAGCAGCUGUAUCUCCAGAUGAACAGUCUGAAGACUGAAGACUCUGCUGUUUAUUAUUGUGCUAGAGAGCCACAGU